rnacentral:rRNA from 1 species
GAAACUCAAAGGAAUUGACGGGGCCCGCACAAGCGGUGGAGUAUGUGGUUUAAUUCGAUGCAACGCGAAGAACCUUACAGGGCUUGACAUACUGCGAAUCCCCUGAACGAGGGAGUGCCUUCGGGAGCGCAGAGACAGGUGGUGCAUGGCUGUCGUCAGCUCGUGUCGUGAGAUGUUGGGUUAAGUCCCGCAACGAGCGCAACCCACGUCUUUAGUUGCCAGCAUUCAGUUGGGCACUCUAGAGAGACUGCCGGUGAAAACGGAGAAAGUGGGAUGACGUCAAGUCAUCAUGCCCUUACAUCCUGGGCUACACACGUACUACAAUGCUACGACAAAGGGCAGCAAGCGCGCGAGAGAAGCAAUCCCAUAAACCGUGGCACAGUUCAGAAUGCAGCUGCAACUCGCUACAUGAAGGAGGAAUCGCUAGUAAUCGCAGUCAGCAUACGGCGGUGAAUCGUUCCGGCCUUGUACACACCCCCGUCACACCAUGGGAGUUGCCCACGCCCGAGUCGUUACUCUACCUUAGCGAGGAGAGCACCGAAAGCAGCGCUAUGACUGGGGUGAAGUCCUAACAAGGUAGC